CUGUGCUCUCUGUGCAUGUUCCUCACAAACAGAGGAAGAUUUGUCCUCAUCAGGGUCUUCUUUAGCACUGUUUCCUCCUGUCUAAGUGAUUGCAUCCUUCUGAGAAUCUUAAAGUUCACUGAAACAACAGGAUGAUUAAUUCAAGAGGCAUAUAUAUAUUUUGUUGCUAUUGAUGUUUUCCCUACCUGCUCAAAGCAUUGUCAAGACAGAAUUUGACAGCAUGAGUGCACGAAGUCCAACUCAUCUGGGAAUGUUCAGAUUUACACAUAAACCCUGCAAGGAAUAAAUGUGGCCCAGUUGAACUUGCAGAUAUCUGACAGAAUAAAAGACAUCUCUGAGUUACAAAACUCUUUCACAUGAGGAUCAAUAUUCCUUUUAUGCCCACAGAAUGUGUUUUAGAUUUAACAAGUCAUUCUCAUCAGCAAAAUCACAUUCGAUUUCAGGGAGUUCAAGAAUAAACCUUAU